UUGGCUUUUGGAAGCGCAAAAGUUUACAUAAUAUUUGAGACAUUUGGAAAAAUUGGUGGACCUCUCUGUUAUGCUGAUCUGCAACUUGGUUUGGAGAUUUAUGCUAUAUUCUUUCUUUCUUCUUGGUUCUUUUUCUACAACCUAUCUGUAAGUUUAAUUUUUCUGUACAUUUAUUGUCUGUUGCUGACAGUAAGUUUGCUGUACGACAAAAGUUUUCUUAAUUCUGAAUCAUAUUCCCACCAUUUUAGUUGGUCUAUAGGGGAGAGAUUGGAGAUAAGUCUAUCUGUUUCUUUGUAUAAAUUAUCUCCGGUGAAAGAGUAA